GUCCAGCCGCCGCGGUCAUACCGGCAGCCCGAGUGAUGGCCGAUCUUAUUGGGCCUAAAGCGUCCGUAGCUGGCCGCGCAAGUCCAUCGGGAAGUCCACCUGCUCAACAGGUGGGCGCCCGGUGGAAACUGUGCGGCUUGGGACCGGAAGGCGCGACGGGUACGUCCGGGGUAGGAGUGAAAUCCCGUAAUCCUGGACGGACCACCGGUGGCGAAAGCGCCUCGAGAAGACGGACCCGACGGUGAGGAACGAAAGCCAGGGUCUCGAACCGGAUUAGAUACCCGGGUAGUCC
rnacentral:rRNA from 1 species